rnacentral:rRNA from 1 species
GACAGAGGUGCCAAGCGUUAGGCGGAAUCACUGGGCUUAAAGCGUGUGUAGGCGGAUCGUUAAGUACCUUGUGAAAUCCCACGGCUCAACCGUGGAACUGCUGGGUAUACUGGCGAUCUUGAGCCACCUAGGGGCAACUGGAACAAGCGGUGGAGCGGUGAAAUGCGUAGAUAUCGCUUGGAACGCCAAUGGUGAAAACAGGUUGCUGGGGGUGUGCUGACGCUGAGACACGAAAGCCAGGGGAGCGAACGGG